rnacentral:rRNA from 1 species
AUUGAACGCUGGCGGCAGGCCUAACACAUGCAAGUCGAGCGGGGUUUUCGGACCUAGCGGCGGACGGGUGAGUAAUGCGUAGGAAGCUGCCCGAUAGAGGGGGAUACCAGUUGGAAACGACUGUUAAUACCGCAUAAUGUCUACGGACCAAAGUGUGGGACCUUCGGGCCACAUGCUAUCGGAUGCGCCUACGUGGGAUUAGCUAGUUGGUGAGGUAAUGGCUCACCAAGGCGACGAUCUCUAGCUGGUUUGAGAGGAUGAUCAGCCACACGGGAACUGAGACACGGUCCAGACUCCUACGGGAGGCAGCAGUGGGGAAUAUUGGAAGAUGGGCGCAAGCCUGAUCCAGACAUGCCGCGUGUGUGAAGAAGGCCUUCGGGUUGUAAAGCACUUUCAGCGAGGAGGAAGGGUGGUGUGUUAAUAGCACAUCAUUUUGACGUUACUCGCAGAAGAAGCACCGGCUAACUCUGUGCCAGCAGCCGCGGUAACAC